AAAACGGCCCUUUUAAGGGCCACUGUAAUUGUUUAGCUCUGUUUUG
rnacentral:ncRNA from 1 species